CUGCCCCAAAAUAUAACCACAUCAGCCGUUCCCAUAGUGGGAAUAAAUUUUCUGCCUCCAAAAUAUCAGCUGGGCUGAGGAGAGCUCUGCACUGGCUUACUAACCAGCCAUAUGGACUUUCCAUUUCAGGCUCAUGUACUACAUGGUGCUGUGCAUAGGUGCGGAGACUUCCUGUUUGCUUUCUUUACUAGGAAAUUGUUGAAGAUGCUUUGUUUCUCUACUACUCGUACUUGAUCAAUAUUUUAACCCUCCCCCAGAGUAAAAGCCUUGGAGAAUGAAAGUCACAUCUCUUUUGGUGGGAAGCCAAGCUUUUCCUGUGAUGACUGAUAGAAGAAUGAAAGGAUUCAGGCUCCUAGGUUAAAAAAUGAGAUGCAGUGAAGUUGGAUUGUUCAAGGUCACAUGAUGGAGCCAGCAUCCUGGAGAGGGGGUUAAGCAUCAUUGGGGAAGUGAGGAGAGAAAGAAGAUUGCAGAGGAAAAGGAUUUCCAGCACCUAUGCAAGACAGACUCUGAAAGAAAAGAUGGUCAGCUGACAACUCAUUGGAAAAUAAAUAUUUCACCUUACUAGUA